rnacentral:lncRNA from 1 species
UCUGCAAGCAAUUGGCUUUCUCCUUUCUUCAUUUGCCAAGGUAAUUACCAUUCUUCCAUUCAUUUCUCACCUUCCAAAAAUUUGUUGAAAGCAUUUAUGGCAAAAUGUCUCUCAUUCUCUUUGACCUUGUUGAUUAAUUUGUUUUUAAAAAUUCUUCGCCUGUCAUUGUAAUGAGAUUUGGAUAGGAAGAAAAGGUAGUUAUGGUCAAUUCCAGUAGUUUUAACCAGAAGUUUCCCUUGGAAAUCUUAAUUUUUAUUGGCAUCCAGACCCUUGAACUUCUCUUUUAGGCAAAUCCCUACUGUUUACUACAUAAACAGUAAACAAUUUAGAAAAAUACUAACUUUUAGUCUAUAUCUCAUGGCCUGUGUAUAUUUAUUUACAUACAAUUCUAAUAAUCUUGAUUAUUUAGUACUCUAGCUUUUAGUAGGUUAGAGGCAGAAUUUUAGUAGUAAGUUAGAUCUGAAUGCAACUAGUCAUAUAUCCUGGGAGUAUCCAGAAUAGCUGGAAGACCAAAAGAUGGCAGAAAACUUGUAACGGGCACCUGGGUGGCUCAGUUGGUUCUGCAUCCAACUCUUGGUUUCGGCGCAGGUCAUGAUCUCAUGGUUCAUGAGUUUGAGCCUCAUGUCGGGCUCUGCGCUGACAGCGUGGAGCCUGAUGGGAUUCUUUCUCUCCCUCUCUGACCCUUCCCUGCUUGUUCUCUCUCUCUCUCUCUCUCUCUCUCUCUCUCUCUCUCUCUCUCAAUAAAUAAAUAGACUUAUAAAAAAAGGAAGCUUAUAAGUUAAAAGAACAUAUAACAACACAAUAGUUUAUUUAGGUACAAACAGUCCUAGACACUUCAAAAUGCAUUGCUGCAAUCAAUCAUUGCUGUAAUGCUGAUGCCAUCUUCCUAUUACAAAACCUUCUAUGACCCCCCAGUGUCUGUUGAUAUAAGCCUAAUGCUCUCUCACUGUUCCAUCUAUUCCCAAGCAUAUGACCUGCAGUGCCAGUGAAACACCCUGCUCUAUUUCACCUAUGAAUUUCCACUUACAAGCUGUGAAUUUCUUAGCAUGGCACACCAUUUCUUGCCAUCACAAGUCAUUCUACAAGACCUAUUUGAAUCCUCAUCAUGUAUUCUCCCUCCUUUCUCUUCUUUGUCCUCAUCCUCCUGCUGACAUCGCCCCUUGGAGGAAUUUCAAGGAGCUCUGUGGGCAUUUCAGAUGGCAAGGUGGCUUCAGAUGGCAGUCACCUGGAGCUGGUGCACACCCCUAGUGUAAUUUAUGAAAAAUACCCAUGUGGUAUAUACAAAUAUACAUGUAUGCGGAUAAGAGGGGCGCUGCCCAAGCGGUAGAUCAGUGUAGUGCAUUUGUGUCACAA